rnacentral:ncRNA from 1 species
AAUGACCAAGGUGCCCACGCCGACAAUAGAGGAUGCAAGCAUUAUCGGGAAUGGUUGGGCGUAAAGCGUCUGUAGGUGGCUUUUUAAGUUCGCCGUCAAAUCCCAGGGCUCAACCCUGGACAGGCGGUGGAAACUACCAAGCUGGAGUACGAUAGGGGCAGAGGAAAUUUCUGGUGGAACGGUGAAAUGCAUAGAGAUCGAAAAGAACACCAACAACGAAAACACUCUGCUGGGCCGACAUUGACACCAAGAGACGAAAGCUAGGGGAGCGAAUGGGAUUAGAUACCCCAGUAGUCCUAGUCGUAAACGAUGAAUACUAGGCACUGUGCGUAUCGAUCCGUGCAAUGUUGUAACUAACACGUUAAGUAUCCCGUCCGAGGAGUAUAUUCACAAGAAUGAAACUCAAAGGAAUGGACGGGGCCCGCAAGCCAAGGUGGCCCUCGCCCGUGGUCAAGGUACGAUAUUU